rnacentral:rRNA from 1 species
UCAUACAGUACCGUCAGCUCUCCACACGUGGAAAGGUUUCUUCCUGUAUAAAAGCAGUUUACAACCCAUAGGGCAGUCUUCCUGCACGCGGCAUGGCUGGAUCAGGCUCUCGCCCAUUGUCCAAUAUUCCUCA